UACGAGAGGCCCAAACAUUAUUCGGAAUUACUGGGCUUAAAGAGUUCGUAGGCGGCAUGGUAAGUAGGGUGUGAAAUCCCUCGGCUCAACCGAGGAAUUGCGCUCUAAACUACCGUGCUAGAGGAAGCUAGAGGUGAGCGGAACUGAUGGUGGAGCGGUGAAAUGCGUUGAUAUCAUCAGGAACACCGGAGGCGAAGGCGGCUCACUGGGGCUUUUCUGACGCUGAGGAACGAAAGCCAGGGUAGCGAACGGG
rnacentral:rRNA from 2 species